AGUCCACCAGGAACCACGGUGUCACCUCUCUGUGCUCCGGAGGAGGAGAGCAGCAGGUUUUCACUCGGGGAGGGACACUGUGCCAAUGUCAGAAGACACAAUUCUGGCACUGUCCCUGCCACGUAGGAGCCAUGGAGGGUCCCCUCGCCCUGUAGCCCAGAGCUGGCUGCCACCCCUCCCCGACCUUCCAUCCACAGAAGACACAGAGGUCACUGUGGUCCCAGGUCUUCCCCUGCCUCUCAGGUGGUGCUCAAGGCCUAUCCUCGUGAGUGCAGGGGCAUCUGUGCGCCUUUGUCCCCUUGUGCCAAGCCAAACCUGAUGGCAGAGCUCAGGGCCACGCCUUGGGCAUGUGCAUAAAGAAGGCUGCUCUGUUCUGGGACCCCCACCUUGAACAGGCCCCGGGCACCGCAGGGUGUCUGAGUACUGCGGAGAGGGGACAGG
rnacentral:lncRNA from 1 species